rnacentral:rRNA from 1 species
AAGGGCUGAGUAGAUUGAGUGUACAAGGUAGCAUAAUCAUUAGUCAUUUAAUUGAUGACUUGUAUGAAAGAUUGGAUGAAAUAUAUACUGUCUCUUAUUUAUAAUAUAAAAUUUAAUUUUUUAGUUAAAAAGCUAAAAUUAAUUAAAAAGACGAGAAGACCCUAUAGAGUUUUAUAAAUUAUAAUUAUUAAGAUUAUUUAUAAAAUUAAUAAUUAAAAUAAUUUAAUUUAAUUUGUUGGGGUGACAAAAAAAUAAAAAUAACUUUUUUUUUAUAAAACAUAAAUAAGUGAAUAAUUGAUCCAAUAUUAUUGAUUAUAAGAAAAAAUUACCUUAGGGAUAACAGCGUAAUUUUUUUUUUUAGUUCAUAUAAAAAAAAGAGUUUGCGACCUCGAUGUUGGAAUUAAGA